rnacentral:rRNA from 1 species
UGCCAGCCGCCGCGGUAAUACGGAGGGAGCGAACGUUGUUCGGAUUUACUGGGUGUAAAGGGUGCGUAGGCGGCUUCGUGUGUCAGGGGUGAAAUCUGGCGGCUCAACCGUCAAAUUGCCCCUGAAACUGCGAGGCUUGAGUCCGGAAGGGGAGGAUGGAAUUCCUGGUGUAACGGUGAAAUGUGCAGAUAUCAGGAAGAACACCGAUGGCGAAGGCCGUCCUCUGGUCCGGUACUGACGCUGAGGCACGAAAGCUAGGGUAUCGAACGGGAUUAGAUA